rnacentral:rRNA from 1 species
UACGUAGGGUGCGAGCGUUAAUCGGAAUUACUGGGCGUAAAGCGCGCGCAGGCGGUUUGCUAAGUCCGAUGUGAAAUCCCCGGGCUUAACCUGGGAACUGCAUUGGUGACUGGCAGGCUAGAGUAUGGCAGAGGGGGGUAGAAUUCCACGUGUAGCAGUGAAAUGCGUAGAGAUGUGGAGGAAUACCGAUGGCGAAGGCAGCCCCCUGGGCCAAUACUGACGCUCAUGCACGAAAGCGUGGGGAGCAAACAGG